UUUAGGUGAGUGUAGAAACAGCUACAUUACCUACCUCCCUGCGCACCACAACGACACCGUGACACACCCACUCACCUGUCUCCUCCCAUCAACCACACCUCAGACUUUCAUUAAUUUUCUUGAAAUUGAAACUAAAAGUUAUAGCAAACUAUAAGUAGUCGGACGAUGAUCAGUCUUGUUUAAUGUGUGUUAGCCAUGACAUACAUGGACCAACAUCAUUAUUUCUAGAACACCUAUUGUCAAUUGACUUGUCAUGGCGUCAUCGGAUUUUGUCAGAGACAUAUUAACAAAGUGGGACCUCAGUCAAUGGAUAAAAAAUUUUGAAGAGGAAGAAAUAGACGAGGAAGGUUUUCUCUUGCUCGAAGAGAAAGAAUUAAUCCACUUGAUCCCAAAAAUAGGACCACGGACAAAAUUUGCUCACAAACACAAACUUCUAAAGGAACAAAACAAACACAGCAAUGUUGAAGAGAACUUUGAAGUGGCCACGUCGUCAACAGCUUCCAUUAACACAGCCAAGAGUUCCUCAGAAAAUGUACUUUUUACCUAUAACUAUUUACAUAAAUCCUCACCCCUAAAGGACAUAUUUUAUAU
rnacentral:lncRNA from 1 species